GAUGAACGCUGGCGGCGUGCCUAAUACAUGCAAGUCGAGCGAACGGACGAGAAGCUUGCUUCUCUGAUGUUAGCGGCGGACGGGUGAGUAACACGUGGAUAACCUACCUAUAAGACUGGGAUAACUUCGGGAAACCGGAGCUAAUACCGGAUAAUAUUUUGAACCACAUGGUUCAAAAGUGAAAGACGGUCUUGCUGUCACUUAUAGAUGGAUCCGCGCUGCAUUAGCCAGUUGGUAAGGUAACGGCUUACCAAGGCAACGAUGCAUAGCCGACCUGAGAGGGUGAUCGGCCACACUGGAACUGAGACACGGUCCAGACUCCUACGGGAGGCAGCAGUAGGGAAUCUUCCGCAAUGGGCGAAAGCCUGACGGAGCAACGCCGCGUGAGUGAUGAAGGUCUUCGGAUCGUAAAACUCUGUUAUUAGGGAAGAACAUAUGUGUAAGUAACUGUGCACAUCUUGACGGUACCUAAUCAGAAAGCCACGGCUAACUACGUG
rnacentral:rRNA from 1 species